UAAGUGAAUGCUUUGCCACAGUC
rnacentral:miRNA from 4 species